rnacentral:rRNA from 1 species
GACGAACGCUGGCGGCGUGCUUAACACAUGCAAGUCGAACGGAAAGGCCCUGCUUUUGUGGGGUGCUCGAGUGGCGAACGGGUGAGUAACACGUGAGUAACCUGCCCUUGACUUUGGGAUAACUUCAGGAAACUGGGGCUAAUACCGGAUAGGAGCUCCUGCUGCAUGGUGGGGGUUGGAAAGUUUCGGCGGUUGGGGAUGGACUCGCGGCUUAUCAGCUUGUUGGUGGGGUAGUGGCUUACCAAGGCUUUGCCGGGUAGCCGGCCUGAGAGGGUGACCGGCCACAUUGGGACUGAGAUACGGCCCAGACUCCUACGGGAGGCAGCAGUGGGGAAUAUUGCACAAUGGGCGGAAGCCUGAUGCAGCAACGCCGCGUGCGGGAUGACGACCUUCGGUUUGUAAACCGCUUUCGCCUGUGACGAAGCGUGAGUGACGGUAAUGGGUAAAGAAGCACCGGCUAACUACGUG